UAUAUAAACUUGGUUCUUCAAAGUUGCUAAUUAACAUGAUUGCCACACAUGACAAUAAAUACUUUAAGAUUGUGACAGGUGUUAAAAAUAUUUAUCAUAAAUAUAUACUUAUUUGAUAAAAAUGACUAUAGUAGUUUCUUUCUAAAAUCCUAAAUAGAUAAGAAUUACAAAAAUGAAUGGAAAUGUCUCUGUGAAAAUGUAGGAUUUGAUCUAAGAUGAAUGACAUGUUAAAGAAAAAAAUAAGAAACCGAUUACGAUAAAGAAGUAAAUAAGGAAAGUAUGUGAUUAAGAAAAUGAUAUGAUAUAAGGAGAGUAUGUUUUGGCUUCGGGCCGUAAAAUAUAUGUGAUCGUUUUUGGCUUCGGGUCGUAUGUAUCGACCGUGAUGGACCUUCGGGGUCGAGUGGUUUCGGGCCGUAUGAGUGACUGACGGGUCAAGUGGCUUCGGGCUGUGUAUGAUUGGCUACGGGCCGUAUACAUUUGCCUACUGGCCAUGUAUGAUUUCGCUACGGGCCAUGUAUGACUGGCUUUGGGCCGUAAGUGACCUUUGAAGUCGAGAACGAGUAUAAAUGGUUAAGUGAAUUGAAAAUGCGUAAAACUUUAUAAGUAAGGAUAAAAUGUUAGAUAAAUGAAAAUGUUUAAGUAUAAGAAUGGAAUGAAAUAUUAGGUUGUUAUAACAGAAAGAAAUGCUAGGUUGUUAUAACAGAAAGGAUGGUUAAGUUGUUAGAACGGAAAUGAAUGCUAGGUUGUUAGAAUGAGAUGGGAUGCUAGGUGUUAGAAGGAAUGCUAGGUUGAUAAAGUGAAAUUUAUCGUUAAUAUUAGAAAUGUAAGAGCACCAUUAUCCCAGUUUCUGAUUAAGGUUUCUCUUAAUAAAUGGUGAUUUAAUUAAAUGAAAAGGAAAUAAAUAGGCAGUUACCGAUCCUUAAUCUGGCUAUUUGGGAAACGCUGGGGAGAGGGUUUUCAAAUACACGUGUCAGCUUGGGAAGAAAAUGAGACUUAUAUAUAUAUUUUUUCUCUUCUCUUUCUUUCUUUCUUCCUUUCUUCCUUCGUGUUCUCCAUCUUCGAAGAGUCUUGUCUUCGUGUUCUCCGCAGGACAACGGUCCGUUCCUCACCGACGAUCCCAUCCUCCGCAUCAAUCUCAUCGCCUUCUUCUGUAACUCUUCCCCGCAUCAAAGGCAUCGCCUUCUUCUGUAGCGUCUUCUCCAGAAUCCCCUCUCUUCGUUCUUCUCUUAUUGAGCUUCUACACGAUGACCUCGAAGCUUAUCAGUUGCGCUCGUCUCGAAUCUCCAGGACGAGCCUCCGUCUACUUCCGACUCCGUCGAUAUUACGGCCAAGGAGGAGGUAGAUGAGAUCGAUGUUACAAACGGCGAUGCGAUUUAUUCAAUUGGACUCGUCUCUCUCGUUGAGGCUUUAAUUAACGAAGGGCUCUACAACGUCCAUGUCUGUGCUCCUCAGAUCUUCGGAGAAUAUGAGCAACGUCACCGCAGACCUCCCCUCCACCGCCGUCGCACUCCCCGGUUCUACAGCGAACGAGAGUUCGCCUCCGACUGAUCGUCCCAUCCGCGUCUACGCCGAUGGGAUCUACGAUCUUUUCCACUUCGGUCACGCCCGAUCUCUCUCGGACUGGCCAAGAAAUCGUUAGUAACCUCUUUAUCUCCACUACAUAGCUUCUGACUAAUUCUGCAUAUCCCUGAUUCGAUUUCGUUUUUGUUUUUGUUUGGGCGAUUGAUCUGUGAUCUGGAUGAGAAUUUGAUCUGUUUUGAUUAAUAUUACUGCCAAAUUUUGUGAUGCGCAAAGCAUUGUGGUGUGUGAUUUUGAUAGGUUUCCAAACACUUACCUUCUUGUGGGAUGUUGCAACGAUGAAACGACACAUAAGUACAAAGGGAAGGACUGUGAUGACUUCUGAAGAACGAUAUGAAUCACUUCGGCAUUGCAAAAGUGGAGACGGCAUUUACAGGCACCCCGGAAACGUAAGUCUUAAGAAGAGUCAACGUUCUCAUGUCCCACAGCUGAAACAGUUACCUCCCUAUCCAUCAGCAUAUCCAUGAGCCGAGUAAUGCCGCGAGGAGUAGUCAAAAUAGCUUCAUGCAAUCUGAAGAGACCAUCAACUAAAGACUCUACAGCGUAAAGAUAGAAAUAUGGUACAGAAAUAACACUUUGUAAGAAUAUAUACCUGUUUUGAGAGUUCAUAAGAAGAGCUGGAGAGUGUAAUAUCGAACAUAAAAAUCUUCUUCCUCCUGCCAUAACAAGAGGAGAACAAACCA